GAGUUUGAUCCUGGCUCAGGACGAACGCUGGCGGCGCGCCUAACACAUGCAAGUCGAACGAGCGAGAGAGAGCUUGCUUUCUCGAGCGAGUGGCGAACGGGUGAGUAACGCGUGAGGAACCUGCCCCAAAGAGGGGGACAACAGUUGGAAACGACUGCUAAUACCGCAUAAGCCCACAGCUCGGCAUCGAGCAGAGGGAAAAGGAGCAAUCCGCUUUGAGAUGGCCUCGCGUCCGAUUAGCUGGUUGGUGAGGUAAUGGCCCACCAAGGCGACGAUCGGUAGCCGGACUGAGAGGUUGAACGGCCACAUUGGGACUGAGACACGGCCCAGACUCCUACGGGAGGCAGCAGUGGGGAAUAUUGCACAAUGGGGGAAACCCUGAUGCAGCGACGCCGCGUGGAGGAAGAAGGUCUUCGGAUUGUAAACUCCUGUUGUUGAGGAAGAUAAUGACGGUACUCAACAAGGAAGUGACGGCUAACUACGUGCCAGCAGCCGCGGUAAAACGUAGGUCACAAGCGUUGUCCGGAACUACUGGGUGUAAAGGGAGCGCAGGCGGGAAGACAAGUUGGAAGUGAAAUCUAUGGGCUCAACCCAUAAACUGCUUUCAAAACUGUUUUUCUUGAGUAGUGCAGAGGUAGGCGGAAUUCCCGGUGUAGCGGUGGAAUGCGUAGAUAUCGGGAGGAACACCAGUGGCGAAGGCGGCCUACUGGGCACCAACUGACGCUGAGGCUCGAAAGUGUGGGUAGCAAACAGGAUUAGAUACCCUGGUAGUCCACACCGUAAACGAUGAUUACUAGGUGUUGGAGGAUUGACCCCUUCAGUGCCGCAGUUAACACAAUAAGUAAUCCACCUGGGGAGUACGACCGCAAGGUUGAAACUCAAAGGAAUUGACGGGGGCCCGCACAAGCAGUGGAGUAUGUGGUUUAAUUCGACGCAACGCGAAGAACCUUACCAAGUCUUGACAUCCCUUGACGACGCUGGAAACAGUAUUUCUCUUCGGAGCAAGGAGACAGGUGGUGCAUGGUUGUCGUCAGCUCGUGUCGUGAGAUGUUGGGUUAAGUCCCGCAACGAGCGCAACCCUUACUGUCAGUUACUACGCAAGAGGACUCUGGCAGGACUGCCGUUGGCAAAACGGAGGAAGGUGGGGAUGACGUCAAAUCAUCAUGCCCUUUAUGACUUGGGCUACACACGUACUACAAUGGCGUCAAACAAAGAGAAGCAAGACCGCGAGGUGGAGCAAAACUCAGAAACAACGUCCCAGUUCGGACUGCAGGCUGCAACUCGCCUGCACGAAGUCGGAAUUGCUAGUAAUCGUGGAUCAGCAUGCCACGGUGAAUACGUUCCCGGGCCUUGUACACAC
rnacentral:rRNA from 1 species